rnacentral:rRNA from 1 species
GCUGGCGGCGUGCCAACACAUGCAAGUCGAACGGAGAUAUGAUUUCGGUUGUAUCUUAGUGGCGAACGGGUGAGUAACGCGUGAACAACCUGACUCUCAGAGGGGGAUAACACUCGGAAACGGGUGCUAAUACCGCAUAAGACCACGACCUGGCAUCAGGAUGAGGUCAAAGGAGCAAUCCGCUGAGAGAGGGGUUCGCGUCCCAUUAGAUAGAUGGCGGGGUAACGGCCCACCAUGUCAGCGAUGGGUAGCCGAGCUGAGAGGCUGAUCGGCCACACUGGAACUGAGACACGGUCCAGACUCCUACGGGAGGCAGCAGUGGGGAAUAUUGGGCAAUGGGCGCAAGCCUGACCCAGCAACGCCGCGUGAGGGAAGAAGGCUUUCGGGUUGUAAACCUCUAUCCUUGGUGACGAAAAAAAUGACGGUAGCCAAGGAGGAAGCCCCGGCUAACUACGUGCCAGCAGCCGCGGUAUACGUAGGGGGCGAGCGUUGUCCGGAAUUACUGGGCGUAAAGGGUGCGUAGGUGGCCUUUUAAGUUGGAUGUGAAAUACCCGGGCUUAACUUGGGGGGUGCACCUAAUACUGGAGGGCUAGAGUGCAGGAGAGGAAAGCGGAAUUCCUAGUGUAGCGGUGAAAUGCGUAGAUAUUAGGAGGAACACCAGUGGCGAAGGCGGCUUUCUGGACUGUAACUGACACUGAGGCACGAAAGCGUGGGGAGCAAACAGGAUCAGAUACCCUGGUAGUCCACGCGGUAAACGAUGAAUACUAGGUGUAGGGGGUAUCAACUCCCCCUGUGCCGGAGCUAACGCAAUAAGUAUU